rnacentral:rRNA from 1 species
UACAGAGGGGGCAAGCGUUGUUCGGAAUUACUGGGCGUAAAGGGCGCGUAGGCGGCCUUCUAAGUCGAACGUGAAAUCCCCGGGCUCAACCCGGGAACUGCGUCCGAUACUGGAAGGCUUGAAUCCGGGAGAGGGAUGCGGAAUUCCACGUGUAGCGGUGAAAUGCGUAGAGAUGUGGAGGAACACCAGUGGCGAAGGCGACUCUUUGGCCUGUAACUGACGCUGAGGCGCGAAAGCGUGGGGAGCAAACGGG